ACCCUUGUGGUUCGAAAUUCCGCCCACAAUAAAAAACUAGGAGGCA
rnacentral:ncRNA from 1 species